rnacentral:rRNA from 1 species
CCUACGGGAGGCAGCAGUGAGGAAUAUUGGUCAAUGGGCGAGAGCCUGAACCAGCCAAGUCGCGUGAGGGAGUACUGCCCUAUGGGUUGUAAACCUCUUUUGUCGGGGAGCAAAAGCCGGACGUGUCCGUCUGUUAGAGUACCCGAAUAAAAAGCAUCGGCAAACUCCGUGCCAGCGGCCGCGGUAAUAGCGGGGAUUCGAGCGUUAUCCGGGUUUAUUGGGUUUAAAGGGUGCGCAGGCGGAUUUUUAAGUCAGCGGUAAAAUUGUGGGGCUCAACCCCAUCCAGCCGUUGAAACUGGGGAUCUAGAGUGUGCGUGAGGUAUGCGGAAUGCGUGGUGUAGCGGUGAAAUGCAUAGAUAUCACGCAGAACCCCGAUUGCGAAGGCAGCAUACCGGUGCACAACUGACGCUCAGGCACGAAAGCGUGGGUAUCGAACAGGAUUAGAUACCCCUGUAGUC